CAGAUGGCAGCAUGAGCCUGGGUAUCCGGGUGAGCACUUGAAAUGUCAAAGCCAUGCAGCAAACCCUCCACAAACACCAAUUUGACACUUUCACCCCUCUUGUUACAAGCAGAGAUCUGAAACAUCUAAGCAGGUGUGUCACUUUAUUUUUAUUUUUUUAAGCGAAGGGAGAACAGCCAGUUCAUUUGCAUGAUCUCUAGCAGUUCUUUUCCAACGGAGCCAGACAGAGAUACAUGUUUAAGUGGUUGUCAUGGAAACCAGAGAGCAUUGCUCUCCCUCAAGGUCUGAAAGAAGGAUGAUGAAAAGUUUAAGCAAUCACCAUGGAAACGUAGAGGAGAUACAAGGCGGGUUCAGAUCCCAGCACACUAACAGAUCAGUCUUCAGGUGCUGAGGUCCUGGUGGAAGGUGAAUUCUGACUAUUCACUGUGGCUUCCAGAAUCAGGGCUGACCCAGAGGCCACAUCCACAGUCAUGGGCUCAGAGCAUCCCAGGGGCUCAGCAGUGAGUUUCCUCAGCAUGGCAGAAGCCCACAGAUCUGCUGUCACAAAGUGGAACCCUGCUCAGGUCUGCAGGAGAAAAGACAUUCGAAGCCCAGCCUGGUCUUUCUCUGGUCUUGACCAAGAUGUGUUCCCUUUCAUGUCUGUGAAUAACCAAAAGAAGCAAGAGGUUCCUGCCUCCCAUCACUAUUCUACACGGAGAGUGAUCUUUUACAAACAGACGUUGGGCAAUGUCCUUGCUUCUCAUCUCAUUCAAAGUAAAAUCCGCACCCUCAGAGGCUUCUCAGAGCUGACCUCAUCUCCUACUGUUGAUCUCCGACUGUUCUGCCCCCACUGCUCCAGGGUGACAUUGACUUCCUCUUAGCACAUACAGGGCUUCUGCCCUUGUGCCCUCUACCUGGAAGGCCCUUCCUCUGACAUCCACAAGGCUCUCCCCUCCCGACUCACUUCCAUCAGAGUAAGCUCAGUGCCAUCUUAGAGAGGCCUUCCUGGCCACCCCCACUUAAAAUAACGACCCCUCAUGCCUCUCUGUCCUUAGCCGGCUGUAUAUUCCUUCAGACUCCUGAACUGAACAUCGUGUUACGUCUUUACAUGCUGUUAUUAUAUGUAUAUGAAACCCACGUUAAGAGAAAAGAUGUGGAUGGGAUAAAAGAAAUACUGAGGCUAACCCAAAGAACGGAAAUAGCUACAUUAGUAUCAGGCAAAGGAGACCUCCCUCCGAAAAUGGAAUACUAUCAGGGGACAUUACUGAGGGACAUUAUACAAUGAAAAAAGGAAUUUUCCUCAAACCUGACGUAACCGAUAUCCUCAGGGCGACGACUGACUAGACAGGACGUCCGCAGCCCUCCAGACGAGGCUGGCACCGGCCACAGCGCCCUGUGGCCUCACUCCUGGCCCCCUUCCUUCAUUUAGGUCACCUGCCCGGCUCCUGUGGGCAUUUAGUUUGAGACUCUUGCUUGUGACAAGAGCCUGGCUACAGUGCCGCUGCCUCCGGGAAAGAGCUGGGUGGACACGGUUCCAGCAACCUCGCCUGCCCUUCAGGGCGGGUCAGGCGAGCCUCUCAGAAAUCCCGUCGGGGAGAGACCGGGACAAGAUGGCGCAGCCGGGGGAGCAGUCUCAGGAAAACACCCAAAUUACACGCACCUGCUCAACGACCGUCAAUAAAACAGACUGGAAACCACCCA
rnacentral:lncRNA from 1 species